ensembl:lncRNA
GUUCCUCUUUGUCUCUCAGUAGGAAAUCUAAACCAGACAGUACAAGGGUACAUUUCAGCGUUACAAGCCAAUCAGUUUGCUAAUUGUUCUGUGAGAUUUGUUUGCAAAGUUUAAGGUGUUAAAGCAGGAGCUGGCAUUCUGCCAGAGCCUCAGCAACAAGACCGCCUCCCAGCAACGAGACUGCCUGUCAGCCUUGCAAGAUUUGUUUGAAAAGUUUGAGGUGGUAACUGUGAGCUGUGAACAUCCGGGUUUGCUUGCUGCUGGCAUUCGACCAGCGUCUCAGCAACAACACUGCCUCCCAGCUUUGCAAGGUAAUUACUUUCCCAAUUACUGUACACCAAAAUGGACUAACUGUCGUGGUCAACAAAUCUGCCUCCCAACUUUCAAGAUGCCGAGAAAAAAUAAAAGAUCCCAGGCACAAAAGAAGCGCUGGAAACCACUUGACUUGGUCGAUCCUGCUGUCCCAAUGCUCACUGGCCACAACCAAGAUGAGGCAGUCAGUCGUUUUCCAUCUGACCAGCAGACGGCACCAGCCAGGUUAUCUUUGGAAACACAGGAUAGACCCACCUCCUUAUGUUCCCCAGGUCCCAAGCAGACAGCACCAGCCAGCUUGUCCUUGGAAACGGAGAAUAGACCCACCUCCUUAUGUCCUCCAGGCAGCAAGAUUUCAGACACUCGUCCACCAGCAAAACGAGUCUGGGCAACCGAUGAUUUCCACACGGCAUCAAAUUCUCCACCUAAAAAGCCUUUCCACAACACAAAUGAACAACUACUGACAGAGGAGCUACAGAGAAACGCAGUUCAGCACUUCUGGUGUGUCAGUGCAACUCAUUGUCAAAGUGAUGAAAGGUACACAGAAUUCUCUCGAAAUCAUCAGUGCACAUGUAAUGCCCUCACAUUCCUGGCCUACCUUAAUGAGGAACACCAGUUCAACACAGCCCGACUUGAUAAGGUGCUUGAACAGGGAGAUGCACUCUACUGUUGGAUUAAAACAAAUCUUCAGCAGGAGGCGUUAUACACAAAAUCAUCUGACCAUGGAGGACCUGCCCAAAGAAGUUCAUGCUGACAUAAAUGUCUACAGUGUGAAAAUGGACAACAUAAGGUACGGAUACCUGAAAGCAGAGGACAAAACUUAUCAAAGAAAAGGAUGGUGGUUGCCUCUUGCUAGUCG